rnacentral:rRNA from 1 species
GACGAACGCUGGCGGCGUGCUUAACACAUGCAAGUCGAACGGAAAGGCCUGUCCUUCCUUGUGUUGGACGGGUACUCGAGUGGCGAACGGGUGAGUAACACGUGAGUGAUCUGCCCCCAACUUGGGUAUAAGCCUGGGAAACUGGGUCUAAUUCCCGAUAGGACUGCAGGGUGGUGCCUGUGGUGGAAAACGAUUUUCUAGUGGUUGGGGAUGAGCUCGCGGCCUAUCAGCUUGUUGGUGGGGUAAUGGCCUACCAAGGCGGCGACGGGUAGCCGGCCGGAGAGGGUGGACGGCCACAUUGGGACUGAGAUACGGCCCAGACUCCUACGGGAGGCAGCAGUGGGGAAUAUUACACAAUGGGCGGAAGCCUGAUGCAGCGACGCCGCGUGGGGGAUGACGGCCUUCGGGUUGUAAACUCCUUUCGACCGCGAGGAAGCCGCCUGGUUGGAAGGGUGGUGACGGUAGUGGUAGAAGAAGCACUGGCUAACUACGUG